GGUCAAUCUACCGCAGAGAAGGGGAUAACGUUGGGAAACUGACGCUAAUACCAUAUAGGGUAAGAUCGCUGGAAGGCUUUUUACCCGAAAAGGAGCAUGAAAUGUAGUGUUUCCGCUCUGCGAUGAGACUGCGUCGGAUCAGGCAGAUGGCGGGGUAACGGCCCACCAUACCUUUGACCCGUAGGGGCUAUGAGAGUAGGAGCCCCGAGAAGGGCACUGAGACAAGGGCCCUAGUGCUACGGCAUGCAGCAGGCGCGAAAACUUCACAAUGCGCGAAAGCGUGAUGAGGGGAGUCUGAGUGGGGGGUUCACCCCCUCCUUUUGCCAAGUUUAGCUAGCUUGGCGAAUAAGUGCUGGGUAAGGCCGGUGGCAGCCGCCACGGUAAUACCGGCGGCACAAGUGGUGUCCACGACUAUUGGGCUUAAAGCGUCCGUAGCUGGCCCAGACCGUCUUAUGUGAAAUGCAUGUGCUCAACACAUGCGCUGGCAUAAGAUACCUUUGGGCUAGGGAGCGGGAGAGGUUAGGAGUACUUAUGGGGUAGGGGUAAAAUCCUAUAAUCCUAUAAGGACUACCGGUGGCGAAGGCGCCUAACCAGAACGCAUCCGACAGUGAGUGACGAAGGCUAGGAGAACGAAUCGGAUUAGAUACCCGAGUAGCCCUAGCAGUAAAUUAUGCAGACACUGGUGUUGCGUCUACCACGAGUAGACGCAGUACCGUAGGAAAACUGUUAAGUCUGCCGCCUGGGGAGUACGGCCGCAAGGUUGAAACUUAAAGGAAUUGGCGGGGGAGCAC
rnacentral:rRNA from 1 species